GUAAUCUAUCUUCUUGACCCGGAACAAAGAUGGGAUUAUCACAUAUUGGACUCAUAAUAGAUGGCAUUGAACCAUGGUGAUGAAUCAUCCUCUAAGGCCCAGUUUAACACCCUUGACACAUGUACUGCUUCAUAGUACAAAUCCGCAUUGGUCUUUUUGUAUUAACAUUGAAUGGUUAAUGUGUGUCUUCCCUGUGGAGCUAUCCAAAAUUGGAUUUAAGGGUACGUUGAAGUCACCUCCUACUAUGACCAUUCCUUCAUGAUAAUCUUCAAGUUUCCUUAUAAUUUCUCUUAAUAUCUUAUGUUGUUUCGUAUUCGGCAGGUAUAUGUUACACAAUGUUACUGUAAUACCAUACAAUUCCCCCUUCACAAUUAAGCAUCUACCAUCUUCUCUUUUGUAUUCUCCUUUCACUGUAAACGGUGUGUUUUUAUGAAGCAUAAUUAAUACCCCUUUUGUCUUAUUUUCCGUAUUAUUAGCCAUAAAAAUCUUAUCAUAAAAUCUGUGGUUUAGUAUUGGUGUUUUCCCUUCUUUAAAAUGGGUUUCUUGGCAAAAAACAAUAUUAGCCCCUAGGUCGUUACAAUGUUUCAUUAUCUGUGAUCUCUUUACCGGUUCAUUAAACCCAUUAACAUUUAUCGAUAUUAAUUUGCAUUCCAUAAAAAAAAGAUAUAAAA